GCGGGUGUAGUUCAGUGGUAGAACGCAAGCUUCCCAUGCUUGAUGUCGUCGGUUCGAACCCGAUCACCCGCU
rnacentral:tRNA from 1 species